AGUGAACGCUGGCGGUAGGCCUAACACAUGCAAGUCGAACGGCAGCACAGUAAGAGCUUGCUCUUACGGGUGGCGAGUGGCGGACGGGCGAGGAAUACAUCGGAAUCUACUUUUUCGUGGGGGAUAACGUAGGGAAACUUACGCUAAUACCGCAUACGACCUACGGGUGAAAGCCGGGGAUCUUCGGACCUUGCGCGAUUGCAUGAGCCGAUGUCGGAUUAGCUAGUUGGCGGGGUAAAGGCCCACCAAGGCGACGAUCCGUAGCUGGUCUGAGAGGAUGAUCAGCAACACUGGAACUGAGACACGGUCCAGACUCCUACGGGAGGCAGCAGUGAGGAAUAUUGGACAAUGGGCGCAAGCCAGAUCCAGCCAUACCGCGUGGGUGAAGAAGGCCUUCGGGUUGUAAAGCCCUUUUGUUGGGAAAGAAAAGCAGCAGGUUAAUACCCCGCUGUUCUGACGGUACCCAAAGAAUAAGCACCGGCUAACUUCGUG
rnacentral:rRNA from 1 species